rnacentral:rRNA from 1 species
CGUGUAGGCGGUUCGGUAAGUUGGAUGUGAAAGCUCCUGGCUUAACUGGGAGAGGUCGUUCAAUACUGCCGAGCUAGAGGAUGGUAGAGGGAGGUGGAAUUCCGAGUGUAGUGGUGAAAUGCGUAGAUAUUCGGAGGAACACCAGUGGCGAAAGCGGCCUCCUGGACCAUUUCUGACGCUCAGACGCGAAAGCUAGGGUAGCAAACG